rnacentral:misc_RNA from 1 species
UUUCCGUAGGUGAACCUGCGGAAGGAUCAUUCAUAAUAAAGUGUUUUAUGGCACUUUUUAAAAAUCCAUAUCCACCUUGUGUGCAAUGUUAUAUCUCGUCAAUCUUGGCGAGAUUUUCAUACAUCAACUCAUUUUUUAACUAAUUUGUCUGAAAAAUAUUAUGAAUACUUAAUUCAAAAUACAACUUUCAACAACGGAUCUCUUGGCUCUC